UUCUCCAAGCCCACGAAACAUUACUUGGGCUUCAAGUUUUAUUCGGACAAACUUGACCCACUCCUUGUAAUAGUCCCAUUUAGAAAAAUAGUCAGGGAUGGAAUUACUUUCCUUUUCAGGAUGUCUCAAUUUAGGAAACUAGACAUUACUUUCUUGUUUAGGAAAUAAAGGAACUCUGGACUUGCUUGCUUGUUUGGGAUGGGACUUGCGCUGCUUGCGUGUUCACAUAUAUUGUGUUGCAUGAGUAUGAUCUUGUGUUGCAGCAGACUUGCAGGUAAUUAUUCUAUAGGAGUCUAAAUUUCCAUGGGUUUCCUCCUUAAUGCAGGAUUUCUUCUUUGGAACUAAAUUAGGGCCAUC
rnacentral:lncRNA from 1 species